rnacentral:rRNA from 1 species
AUGCCCAGAGAGGAGUUUGAAUGGCGACAGUCCCGGGCCGACACGAUGGACAAGCGUAUGCCCUAGGUGGUGGAGGAGGUGGACGUCUUGCUGCGGAGGCUGCGCCCCCACUUCGUCGACGACCCCGAUGCCCUCAAGAAGUGGGAAGAGUAUGAGAAAGAUGUCCGUUAUGCGUUUACGCAUAGCCUCCGUGGCACCCUCAUUUCGCCUGUGUGCAUCCCGAACUCCGUUGCAUACGAGCAGCUGAUGCAGAGGAAGGCCUGGUCUAGGACUGUUGCUGGAAGGGUAUAUGGGGGCCUGGAGAAGCUGAAGCAGGCAGCCACAGUGCCUUCGACAAGGAACAAGAGAACAGUUAGAGCAGAGGCAAUCAUUGCCGGCGUCGCUGCCGCGUUUGCUCUCGGGCUUGCCGUCGGACGAAUUCAACUCCAUGGAAGCAGGACCAAUGAAAUGGAACCUAGCUAG